GUCCUAGCCGUAAACGAUGGGCACUGGGUAGGGGGAAGCCUAUGCUCUUCCCUGCCGAAGCAAAUGUAUUAAGUGCCCCGCCUGGGGAGUACGCUCGCAAGGGUAAAACUCAAAGGAAUUGACGGGGGCUCACACAAGCGGUGGAGCAUGUGGUUAAAUUCGAAGCAACGCGAAGAACCUUACCUGGCCUUGACAUCCAUGGAUUAGUCCCCUGAAAGGGGGAGUACUGCUCUUCGGAGCCGGAACAUGGACAGGUGUUGCAUGGCUGUCGU
rnacentral:rRNA from 1 species